rnacentral:rRNA from 1 species
UACGUAGGGUGCGAGCGUUGUCCGGAAUUAUUGGGCGUAAAGAGCUUGUAGGCGGUUUGUCGCGUCUGCCGUGAAAAUUCGAGGCUCAACCUCGAACUUGCGGUGGGUACGGGCAGACUAGAGUGAUGUAGGGGAGACUGGAAUUCCUGGUGUAGCGGUGAAAUGCGCAGAUAUCAGGAGGAACACCGGUGGCGAAGGCGGGUCUCUGGGCAAUAACUGACGCUGAGGAGCGAAAGCGUGGGGAUCGAACAGG